GCGAAAUGCGAUAAUUAAUGUGAAUUGCAGAAUUCAGUGAAUCAUCGAGUCUUUGAACGCACAUUGCGCCCCCUGGUAUUCCGGGGGGCAUGCCUGUCCGAGCGUCAUUGCUGCCCUCAAGCACGGCUUGUGUGUUGGGCUUCCGUCCCUGGCAACGGGGACGGGCCCAAAAGGCAGUGGCGGCACCAUGUCUGGUCCUCGAGCGUAUGGGGCUUUGUCACCCGCUCCCGUAGGUCCAGCUGGCAGCUAGCCUCGCAACCAAUCUUUUUAACCAGGUUGACCUCGGAUCAGGUAGGGAUACCCGCUGAACUUAAGC
rnacentral:misc_RNA from 1 species